GAUGAACGCUGGCGGCGUGCCUAAUACAUGCAAGUCGAGCGAACGGACGAGAAGCUUGCUUCUCUGAUGUUAGCGGCGGACGGGUGAGUAACACGUGGAUAACCUACCUAUAAGACUGGGAUAACUUCGGGAAACCGGAGCUAAUACCGGAUGAUAUUUUGAACCGCAUGGUUCAAAAGUGAAAGACGGUCUUGCUGUCACUUAUAGAUGGAUCCGCGCUGCAUUAGCUAGUUGGUAAUGUAACGGCUUACCAAGGCAACGAUGCAUAGCCGACCUGAGAGGGUGAUCGGCCACACUGGAACUGAGACACGGUCCAGACUCCUACGGGAGGCAGCAGUAGGGAAUCUUCCGCAAUGGGCGAAAGCCUGACGGAGCAACGCCGCGUGAGUGAUGAGGGUCUUCGGAUCGUAAAACUCUGUUAUUAGGGAAGAACAUAUGUGUAAGUAACUGUGCACAUCUUGACGGUACCUAAUCAGAAAGCCACGGCUAACUACGUG
rnacentral:rRNA from 1 species